AAAAAAUUCCCUAAUCAACAUACAAUUUACUUUAACUUUUUUUUUCAUUCUAAAUAUAUUUCAUAAAAUAUAUAUGCCAAAUAAAAUAAUAAAAUAACUGUAAUGUACAUUACAUAAAUUUUAAACACACAAAUAUUACAAAAAAAUUCAAAUUUAUAAAUAAAAUUACCUUUUUUUCCUUUUUUUUUCCUUUCUUCCCUCUUCUUCUUCUUUUUUUUUCUCUUCUCCUUUCCCUUUCUUUCCUUCUUUCUUUCUUUUUUCUUCUCUUCUCCUUUUCUUCUUCUUUCUUUCCUUUUUUCUCUUCUGCCUCCACCACCGACCCCCCC
rnacentral:lncRNA from 1 species